UAGGGAAUCUUCGGCAAUGGACGAAAGUCUGACCGAGCAACGCCGCGUGAGUGAAGAAGGUUUUCGGAUCGUAAAACUCUGUUGUUAGAGAAGAACAAGGACGUUAGUAACUGAACGUCCCCUGACGGUAUCUAACCAGAAAGCCACGGCUAACUACGUGCCAGCAGCCGCGGUAAUACGUAGGUGGCAAGCGUUGUCCGGAUUUAUUGGGCGUAAAGCGAGCGCAGGCGGUCUGUCAAGUCGGAUGUGAAAUCCCCGGGCUCAACCUGGGAACUGCAUUCGAAACUGGCAGGCUAGAGUCUUGUAGAGGGGGGUAGAAUUCCAGGUGUAGCGGUGAAAUGCGUAGAGAUCUGGAGGAAUACCGGUGGCGAAGGCGGCCCCCUGGACAAAGACUGACGCUCAGGUGCGAAAGCGUGGGGAGCAAACAGG
rnacentral:rRNA from 1 species